rnacentral:rRNA from 1 species
AGAGUUUGAUCCUGCGCUCGAGACGAACGGUGGGGGUGCGCCUAACACGUGCGACUCGAACGAGCAAGGAAGAGCUGGCUUUCUCAAGCGAGUGGCGAACGGGUGAGUAACGCGUGAGGAACCUGCCUCAGAGAGGGGGACAACAGUUGGAAACGACUGCUAAUACCGGAUGAGCCCCCGACCCGCUCUCGGCUGCUAGGGAAAAGGAGCAAUCCGCUAUGAGAUGGCCUCGAGUCCGAUUAGCUAGUUGGUGAGGUAACGGCCCACCAAGGCGACGAUCGGUAGCCGGACUGAGAGGUUGAACGGCCACAUUGGGACUGAGACACGGCCCAGACUCCUACGGGAGGCAGCAGUGGGGAAUAUUGCACAAUGGGGGAAACCCUGAUGCAGCGACGCCGCGUGGAGGAAGAAGGUCUUCGGAUUGUAAACUCCUGUUGUUGAGGAAGAUAAUGACGGUACUCAACAAGGAAGUGACGGCUAACUACGUGCCAGCAGCCGCGGUAAAACGUAGGUCACAAGCGUUGUCCGGAAUUACUGGGUGUAAAGGGAGCGCAGGCGGGAAGACAAGUUGGAAGUGAAAUCCAUGGGCUCAACCCAUGAACUGCUUUCAAAACUGUUUUUCUUGAGUAGUGCAGAGGUAGGCGGAAUUCCCGGUGUAGCGGUGGAAUGCGUAGAUAUCGGGAGGAACACCAGUGGCGAAGGCGGCCUACUGGGCACCAACUGACGCUGAGGCUCGAAAGUGUGGGUAGCAAACAGGAUUAGAUACCCUGGUAGUCCACACUGUAAACG